CGGCAUAUUUUUACAUAAUUUCAUUGCGAAUCUUCAGCUGAUCUACUCGCGGCGGCACGCAGUCGUCGGUGAUCGUGCAUCGAGGACAGUAUUUUCUAAUCGUUCUUCCACGUGCGGCACACGACCCUCCUUUUUUACAUCGCAUAUGUAAUGUACGAUCGAUUGAAAUGAUAACGAUUUGAAAAUGAGCAUACACAGAAGAAGAGAAAAACAUCGAACCACUCCGAAUCACCGAAUUAAAGAAAAAUCUUAAUGCCACGCCGAAAAUCUGAGUAUCGUUGCUAGAUGUGAAUUGGUGAUCUUGAAAUUAAAUACGUCAGUUUAAAUUUAGCCUCGAUAACAAGGAGGCAAUGGCAUUCGCAUAAGAAAAUACUGCCGGCGGAAAUUGACCUAGAUUAUGGCGGUGCGCCUACAAACCCUAUGUGAUAGAGUUAAUUGUUACUAUAACACGCUGCAUCUACUAGUGAUGUAACGAAUAUUCGCGUUCGCAUUCGCAUUCGCAUUUGCAAAAAUUUUACGAAUAUUUUUAGAAUGUAAUUGUCACAAAUACUUCAUAUUUUGAUUGUAAAAAUUGUGAAAAUAAUAUUAAAUAAGACAAAAAACAUUAUAUCGAUACUGAACAUUUGUUAUAAAAGUUUGUCGUCACGUUUGAAUCACACUCUAACCUCGAAAUAAUUUGUUUCUGUUAUCAAUUUAUCGUUGAAUAAUCAAACAAUCGGUUUGGUUCGGAUCAGCUCGGCAAUUUCCGGAAUAAGAUGCAAACCACGAAGUGACUUGAACAGUGUACCUGUCAGUCAAUCAGUUGUCAAUUUUUAGCCAUAGAGAAAUGGUGCUAUGAAUGGAUUUAAAAAUCUAUAUUCACAUUCUCAUUCGCGAAUUCUUCAAAAUUUACAUUCGUUAGAUUUCUAAUAUCUACUGUAAAAUAGCACGUCGUCAGGAUUUCGCCUCUUGAUUCGGUCGGCCUCUAGAUGGCCUCAGGAUUGAGUCUCUUACUAUGCAUAUAGCAAAUUGACUGGAUUUCACUGGUGUGUUGUGGAUUGUAAUAACGGUACAGGAAGAAGCUUGUAACUGCCUAAUCUCAGACUUGUUAUAUGACGUUAGCGGGAAAUAAAAGAAGAACAUUUUCAAGCUUUGGGCUGAUUGUAAUUAUAUCAUACCGAGAGGAUUCCUUAAAAGGAAACGACCGUGCAUUUAAUUUUUGGUAUAUUGGUAAUCAUGGGGCCGACUGCCGCUGACAGGGACUCCGAAAACAGAGGUUACAGCUUGCGCUGUCAAAAAUUAAGCUUUGUAAAAGUGUUCAUCGAAUCUGGUACAUUUGAACAUGAUUAUCUUAUGCAAACUGCGUCGCAACGUGAGCUAGGUCAAAACCUGUCCUAAGAAAUUCACCGCUGGAAUUUGCAAAGUUAUGGAGAUGCCACACAUAAAUCGCUGAAUGAUGUCAAAAUGCAUCUAGCUUUAUUGGAAUUUUGGAUUUGCUUGUUUUUGGGCAAGUACUUGUAUGGCGAUUGCGAAUCUUGCAACAGAAAUAAAAACCGAGUAGGGGUACUAUACAUGUAUAUAUACUAUAUAUGUGUGACCAAGAUAAGUUGUAUCAAUCCCUGCAUUAAAUAUGUGACCUGUUCAGCUUCUUGAAAGUAAUUUUGAGAUUAUCGGUUAUCACUCUUACAUACCGACAUAUCAGUUGCACGCGGAAUUGAUAAAAGCAUUUUUCUCUUGGCAAUUCACGAUAAAAUUGUUAUACGCAUAAUUUCCUUGAUCGUAAUAACGUCAGUAUAAUUUUUGCCCACUUUGUACAGAAAAAUGAUAGUGUACUUAUAACUGUAUGCAAUACUCUCAACAAUCUUGCACAAUAAUGUGUCGUGUUAUACUGGAUUGAUUUUAUUGCCUAUCACGUUUGUACAGGAUCAAGUCAUUUGAACUCUCGACAGAUUUGUAUUCUUGACUAAACUUCAACACAGAAGAAGACUUUUGAGUUAAUAGGGUUAACAAGAUUACCUCUUUUAUUAACAGUGUAGCACGUUUGCUAUACGCCUCGUCAAAUUUCGUUUAUAUACAGAUAUCAUUUAACGCAUUUCAAUACCGGU
rnacentral:lncRNA from 1 species